rnacentral:miRNA from 1 species
AGAACCAUUCGCGCUGCACAUUCA